rnacentral:rRNA from 1 species
GACGAACGCUGGCGGCGUGCUUAACACAUGCAAGUCGAACGGUAAGGCCCUUCGGGGUACACGAGUGGCGAACGGGUGAGUAACACGUGGGUGAUCUGCCCUGCACUUCGGGAUAAGCCUGGGAAACUGGGUCUAAUACCGGAUAGGACCACUGCCUGCAGGGGUGGUGGGGGAAAGCUUUUGCGGUGUGGGAUGGGCCCGCGGCCUAUCAGCUUGUUGGUGGGGUGCUGGCCUACCAAGGCGACGGCGGGGAGCCGGCCGGAGAGGGUGACCGGCCAGACUGGGACUGGGUUGCGGCCCAGACUCCUACGGGAGGCAGCAGUGGGGAAUAUUGCACAAUGGGCGCAAGCCUGAUGCAGCGACGCCGCGUGAGGGAUGACGGCCUUCGGGUUGUAAACCUCUUUCAGCACCGACGAAGCGCAAGUGACGGUAGGUGCAGAAGAAGGACCGGCCAACUACGUGCCAGCCGCCGCCGUAA